CCGGGGAAGGGCCUGCUUCGCAGGCGGCUGCGACGGUGCGGGGGGCUAGGGCCACGUCCUCGGGGCCGCCGCUGGGUGGAGGCGCGUACUUGCGGCGCAGGGAGCGGCUGACGUUCUGCGUCGGGUACCCCAGGAGGAUAUUGGCUGCCCGACAGGUAGACGUCACAAAACACCGAGUAAGAAGAGCCCUGCACCCGGCACUCACCACAUUCUCCCUACGUGAGGGGUCUGAGUUGACUUGCAUCCACUCAAUGUCCAGCCCAUUGGGACCAUAGUCCUCUGGGUCCAGGAUGUAGGGGCAGCCCAGCCUCACAUUAUCACCUUCCGCAAGCCCCAGGCCAAGGGAACACCAGCUCAUUCCUGAGAUAAGGAUCCUAAUGUCAUCUGCCAGAUCUUGGGGUGGCCCAAGGCGAUUCAGGGAUGAGCCAGAAGUCAGGUGCAACAAGAGACUCCACCCUGGGAAAGAGCCACUGGAAGCAACCCUCCCAACAGGAAGGAUUCUCUUCGCCCACACCAUGGAGUCCAGUCGGGCAGGAGGCUCCAGCAGGUUACGCCAAGCCAGCCCCAUCCUCCAGUUCGCAGCAGGAACUGCUGCACCUGGAGCAGCUGCACCUGUGUGAGCCCCACAGGCCUCAGACAACCAUGAAGAGCCACGCAGAGACCUCUGCACAGGGACACUGUCCCCAAACUUCAGGUAUAGGUUCUCCCCCUCUUGGCAGUAUCCAAACCAGGAUGGUAGCAGGGUGAGGGUGGGUGGUCCCCUACCAGAACCUUGCAGGCCACCUUUGAGGCCCCUCUGGGAGUACUUGCUGCCCUUUUCCCGGCCCUCGGGCCUCACGCUGGGCAUCCCUGCCCACUGCCCAGCCCCAUACCUGGGCUCAGGCACAGGAGUAGAAGUUGGAAAGCUCCUGGAACUCCCAUGUCUCUAGGCUCGGUGUUUGCUCCGCCUGAGGUGGGUUCCCGUGGCCGGUGGUGGUGGGUGGAAGGGGCAGGUGGAGGGAGGGGGAGCCGAGGGCCCAGACACUGCCCGGGGUGGCAGAAAGGUGCAGUGAGUGCCCAGCUGGGGAGCAGCCAGCGUUAUUUCUAUGGGAGGGAGGGGGCCUGGUCCCCGCCUUGGGGAGGAGCCCCAAUAACCCUAAUUAGCGGGGUGACAGGAUGGCCUACCCAGGCAUUACCCAGCCCUCACCCAAGCUCUUCCCUGUCUUGAGAGUGGCACAAGGCGGCCAGCGGGACUUGUAAUUAGGCACCUGUUAAACCUCCACUUCCUCCUGGCCACGUCCUGGGGGUGACAACAGUCGCCCCAUUUGACAGCGUCCACAGAGCUCCCCUCACCACUCAUUUGCUGCCUGCUUCCCUAGGGGAAGUGGGAAAGAGGAAGGAGAAGCCGGGCUUGGGGCGCAGGCGGGGUGGGGAGAGGCCAGGCCGUGAAGAGUUAACACUCACACGGGAGGGGCGGGUGUUCUGACCCAGCCUCCCAGCUGCAGGCCCAGCUGUCCAAGCCCCGCCCCCUCCGAGCAUCCCUGACCCUCCCUCCCUGGAGGGACCCCUUCUAGGAGGAGGUCUGUGAGAAGGUACUCCAGGGAAGGAGAGCCUUCUCCCAGGCUGGGACCAGGAAGGAAGGAAGGCCUGGCAGAUGAAAGGCGUCCAGGAACGUCCAGCCUGGGAUCUUUCAAAGGGAGUAGGGCCCCCUGAGCUGAAAGAGGGAGAGGAGGGGGAUGUGAAGGGACAAAGUCAUCCCCUGCAACUGCACCCCCACCCAUGCCUGGCUCAAGGACUCCACCCCUGGGUGUCAUGGGGGACCAAAGGUGUCAUGGGGGACCCAGGCCCUAGGGCUCACACAGAUCUACAGUGGUUCACGGAGGAUUAUAAAGAUGGACCAGGGCAUGUGGAGGGAGGGAGGUACGGGGUUGGGGUAAGGGAAGGAGCGGCCCUGGUGAGGGAGGACUGUGUGAAUACCUGCACCCUCACGCCUAAUAGUGUACAGGUGGGAGGGAGGCAGGGUGACAGUGUCAUUGAGUGAGGCUGGGCCCCUCUGUAUGUGCUUCCCAUGAAGGAUGCCUUGGUAGCCUGGCUCCUAUGCCCAGGAAGAGCCACCAGGCCUGAAGAGUUCAUGAAGACCUGGUUUGAACUGAGCCCUUGAGACCAAGGACCCCCGUGACCUUGACUGGUCAUCAGGGUGACUAAGAUGGCGUAGUCCUAGGAAGGCUGGAAUAAUUGGGCUGGGUAGGGUCUCAACCAGCCCGAGAAAACAGAAGGCCGGCUCUUGCUUUUGGUCCCCUCGUGCCUCCCCUGGACUCCAGGACUGCUCCACAGGACGAAGGUCACGAGGGGCCCCAUGGAACUGCUGGACUUCCUUCAAGGAGCCAGGAGCCCUCCCCUAGCCCUGCCAAGGACGGAGGGGGAAGAGUUAUGGGGCUCUGGGAUGCUGUUGGGACCCACCCCUCUGGGAACAAUAAGGAAACAAAGGAGUUUAUGCGUCUCUAAGUUCCAAACCCCUCUCUCUACCUGAACUCCCAACAACAACAGGGUGCUCAGGGGCUUCCCAGACGUACACAGUGAAUAUCCUCAUUUCCUUAUUUAUUCUGAGUUUUAUGGGAUUGUCUUGUGCCCUCUGGAGAACAGGGAUCAUUAUUUCCAUUUUACAGAUGGGGAAACAGAGGCCUGGAGAAACAUGAGGAUUUGGCUUAGUUGAUACCGCUGGGGCCUAAGUAGGAGACAGCCAGACAUCCUGACUCUUGGCCCAGCGUAGUCCAAAAAAAAAAAAAAAAA